CCUGAACAUUUGGCAGACAAAGAGGCAUUCACUGCUCAAAGGAAGAUCAUCUCUCAAAAAGAGAAGAAUAGAUGCUGUAUUGUUACAAGCUAGAAGCACCCACGGAUACCCUCCAAAUGGCUCCACAGAGAGAUGAAGCUUCCUGCAGGAGCAUCUGGAGCACUGCCGAGUGGCCAUCUGUGUUUUACCGUGAACAGGAUUAUAAAACUAUUUGCCAGAUAGAACCUUAUGGGAUAUUCCCCCUGCCCCAAAAGUAAGCUCAUUCUUAAGAACGGUAUCUGGAAAGCGGGCCUAAAACAACAAAACCUGGAUUUAGGCAUUUUUCAGUAUUUUAAAAAAAAAAUGUUUGCAUAAACAAA